rnacentral:rRNA from 1 species
GACGAACGCUGGCGGCGUGCUUAACACAUGCAAGUCGAACGGAAAGGCCCUGCUUUUGUGGGGUGCUCGAGUGGCGAACGGGUGAGUAGCACGUGAGUAACCUGCCCUUGACUUUGGGAUAACUCCAGGAAACUGGGGCUAAUACCGGAUAGGAGCUCCUGCUGCAUGGUGGGGGUUGGAAAGUUUCGGCGGUUGGGGAUGGACUCGCGGCUUAUCAGCUUGUUGGUAGGGUAGUGGCUUACCAAGGCUUUGACGGGUAGCCGGCCUGAGAGGGUGACCGGCCACAUUGGGACUGAGAUACGGCCCAGACUCCUACGGGAGGCAGCAGUGGGGAAUAUUGCACAAUGGGCGGAAGCCUGAUGCAGCAACGCCGCGUGCGGGAUGACGGCCUUCGGGUUGUAAACCGCUUUCGCCUGUGACGAAGCGUGAGUGACGGUAAUGGGUAAAGAAGCACCGGCUAACUACGUG